CGGAUUGUUAAGCAAGACGUGAAAGCCCCGGGCUUAACCUGGGAAUGGCGUUUUGAACUGGCAGUCUAGAGUGCGUCAGAGGGGGGUGGAAUUCCACGUGUAGCAGUGAAAUGCGUAGAGAUGUGGAGGAACACCAAUGGCGAAGGCAGCCCCCUGGGAUGACACUGACGCUCAUGUACGAAAGCGUGGGUAGCAAACAGGAUUAGAUACCCUGGUAGUCCACGCCCUAAACGAUGUCAACUGGUUGUUGGGGGAGUGAAAUCCCUUAGUAACGAAGCUAACGCGUGAAGUUGACCGCCUGGGGAGUACGGUCGCAAGAUUAAAACUCAAAGGAAUUGACGGGGACCCGCACAAGCGGUGGAUGAUGUGGAUUAAUUCGAUGCAACGCGAAAAACCUUACCUACCCUUGACAUGUCCAGGAUCCUGCAGAGAUGCGGGAGUGCCCGAAAGGGAAUUGGAACACAGGUGCUGCAUGGCUGUCGUCAGCUCGUGUCGUGAGAUGUUGGGUUAAGUCCCGCAACGAGCGCAACCCUUAUCAUUAGUUGCUACGCAAGGGCACUCUAAUGAGACUGCCGGUGACAAACCGGAGGAAGGUGGGGAUGACGUCAAGUCCUCAUGGCCCUUAUGGGUAGGGCUUCACACGUCAUACAAUGGUCGGUACAGAGGGUUGCCAAGCCGCGAGGUGGAGCCAAUCCCAGAAAGCCGAUCGUAGUCCGGA
rnacentral:rRNA from 1 species